rnacentral:rRNA from 1 species
CGGCGGACGGGUGAGUAAUGUAUGGGGAUCUGCCUGAUGGGGGGGGAUAACUACUGGAAACGGUAGCUAAUACCGCAUAACGUCGCAAGACCAAAGAGGGGGACCUUCGGGCCUCUUGCCAUCGGAUGUGCCCAGAUGGGAUUAGCUAGUAGGUGGGGUAACGGCUCACCUAGGCGACGAUCCCUAGCUGGUCUGAGAGGAUGACCAGCCACACUGGAACUGAGACACGGUCCAG